GGCCUUCCUUGAUCAGUCUACCAUUGAACAUUCAUCAAAGUGUUGAUUGUUGGGGCCUUCUCUUGGUUUACUGUUCUAGCCCACUUCUCCUUGACACCAUUGCUAGUUAUCAAAAUGUUGUCGUUUCCAUCUCCAAGUAUAAUGCUCGUAUUUUCCCAAUUCUCAAUUUCCCCCAAUUUCAGUUUGCAAAUCCCUAACCCUUGACUUCCUUCAAUCAUCUCUUCAUUCUGAAUCUUGACCAUGACAAUUCUUUCCCCUUCAGGCGAUACUUGUCCCCAAGGAUAAAAAUCCGGAAGAUACCUCUUUAGCACCAUAUAAUCCUCCCAGUUGGCAUUUUUCAGUCCCAAAUUCUUCCACUGCACCAACAAUUAAGUGAUGGCCUGGCUCUUCUUCUUCACCAUAUGAUUAUCCAGAACAAUAACAUGAGAGACCUUCAGUUGGUCAUCUGACCCCAAUUAAGUAGGGUCCAAUGAGGGGCCAUAAACUUGAGCAGCUAGCUUCAAGUUCCUUUAAAGAGCCAAGGAUAUUUGCUGGUAGGGUUGUAAUUUUAGUUUGAAAUUAGAUCAAUGAACCUACUCUGAUUACCAAUUUGUCACGGACUUGCCAAGAUUUGAGAAUAAGAUUGAAGAGAAAAAAAAGGAAGUUAGAGAAGGAAAGAAUUCAGAAAAGAGAAAUUUCAUUCAAU